GCUUGAAUAGCUCAGUUGGUAGAGCGCACGACUAUGGUUGAUAACCUGGUCCAAAAGUUUGUGGGUUCAAUUCCCACCUCUACCA
rfam:Xenopus laevis strain J chromosome 7L, whole genome shotgun sequence.